GAGGAAUGAGUCCCCCGUUCUCACCCCGGGGAGCGGUUGCCUCGUGAGUCCAAGGAGAAUCCGCCCUUUCGUUUUGCGCAGGUGGAGAUCUCGCGGGCCCAGUUCGGAGUCCUGCAAACUAUGCGCCCUGCCUGGCCCCCACCUGGUCCUCUUUCCUUUUCAGGUGGAGGAGAUGCCGCUGUCCCGUCGGUCUGGGGACAGCCCAGCUCCCCGGAUCCCGGGCUGGAGAGACGCGUCGCGGCCCCGGGGCCUGGUGGCACGAGCAGGAAGGAGGACCCGGCGGCGGGCUCUGCCUGGGCUUGCCUGGGCUUGUUCCGAGCCGGGCUGCUUCUCGGUGACCACGCAGAUCGGGGGCAUUUGGAGAUUUUGCGGGAGUCCUGCAGCCAAGCUCCGGGGCAGGAGAGGCCUGGAAGCCUGCACUACCUGCUCGCCCCGUCCCAGCAUGCACCCAGGUAAACGCUUGUGUUUCUCAGUCCGUGCGAAAGUUUGCAAAGAAGGAGGCGGGAACUAGACCAACAACUUUAAUAAUCAUAGUCAUAAUAAUGAAAACCCUGUUCAAUUGUGUAGCCUCCGUAAGGGGAAGAAUUUCCAAGAAGCAACAAAAUGUUCUUUGAUUUCAUAAUCUCUGGGGAGAAAGGAUUCCUUUUUUGGGGUUUUGCUCGGCUAGUUCUUUCUUCCCUCCUCUAUCUCCAGCGUGGGGCGAGGAAGGCCGACUGGUUCAUGGGUGGCAAAUGGGGACGGGACGGCUUUUCAGGCAGAAGGGUUAGUAAGUGCAAAGGCCCUGUGUUUGGUGCAUUGGAGAAAUUGCAAGAAAGCGGGUGAGACUGAAGAUCAACUCGUGAUACUUGGUAAUGAAUAUCACAUGAAAACAAGGAAGUUUUCUUGUCUAGCUCUGAAAUUUGCCUUGGUUGGCAGAUCCUUCCUUCCCAGAGAGCACACAUCAGUACUGCAGCUACAGCUGUCUGUCUGACAUACUUGUAAGAACGAACUGUUUAGUGCAGGCUCUGGGAGGCAGUGCCAUGCGGGUCACUGACAUACAUGGUGCCAAUCAUUUUUCUCCAUUCGUAAGGCACCUCAGGACCCCACUGGGGCCCCAGUGUUCCAGUAAGGAUACGGGUUUUGAGUUAAGGACCCGCCUUCCAGCUCCGUCUCUGUCACUAGCUGUGCUAAUUUGGAAAUAGGACUUCCUUUCCUGGCUUUGGUUCCUCAUCUAUAAAAAUUGCCCUUAUGUUAGGACCUACUUACUGGGACUACAGGUGCACACCUGGAUGAUUUUAAAAUAUUUUUUUAGAGAUGGCCUCUCCCUGUGUUGCCCAAGCUGGUCUCAAACUCCUGGGCUCAAGAGAUCCUCCCACCUCAGCUUCCCAAAGCAUUAGGAUUACAGGUGUGAGCCACCGUGCCUGGUCUGAAUUUCUUGCUUUACAUGUUAGCUGGGAAGUAGAUGCCCUCAAGAAUGGUGGAGCAUAUGAGCUGUCCCUCUAGGUCAGUCCCAUGGCCACCCAGCUCCAGCCCUGUCUCUAGGUGUGUGAAUCCCUUUUGCACAACAGAGAGCCUGGGGAGGUGGAAGGUCUUGGUGACACCUUGUGAGUUAUUCACACUGGCUGUGGGUGACAGAGCCAGAGGUGGGAGCACAGAGCUCUCACAGCACAGAGGAGUAAGGAGUUGAAGCUGCAGAAACAAUGCUGAGGCCUGAGGUGGAGGAAUUGAAUCCAGGAAGCAGAGGUUGCAGUGAGCCGAGACCGUGCCAUUGCACUCCAGCCUGGGCAACAAGAGUGAAACUCCAUCUCAAAACAAAAAAGAGAUUCUCAAUGCAGUGGUAAUUUCCGACAAUCCUAGCAUCUACUCUUCACUUUUCACUGCCCAGACGUCUGAGGUUUCAUCUGCUUAUGCAGACGGUGCCAGCUAAGCCGUGCCUUUUGGGUCCAGGUGACCUCCAAAGCAGGCCUCUCCAACACAUAAAGAUCAUUGGGACAUAGUCACGUGUGAAGGGUCUGUUGUGGGGCCCAAGAGGGAAGAUGAAGCGAGAGAUGCCCAGACCAGUGGGAGACGCCAGGACUUCGGAAGCUCUUCUGCGCCACGGUGGGUGGUGAGGGCGGCUGGGAAAGUGAGCUCCAGGGCCCCAGGAGCAGCCUGCUCGUGGGUGCGGAAGGAAAAAGGCACAGGGGCUUGGUGUGGGCGGCUUUUGGCUGGGAGAAGUUUGCACGUAGGGAGAAUAGUAGCCAGUGUUUGCAGAGCACUUACUAUGCAGGAAGGCCUGUCCUAAGUAUUGUAAGUGUAUUACAUCAUGUACAAGUGUCUGUGAUUAACCCCGUCUUGCAGAGAAGGAAACAAAAGUACAAACAGAAAAUGUAACUAAGCAUGCAAUUAAUAAAAAGGGACCAGGUUUUGAACGCGAGCAAUCUGGCUCAAGAAUCUGCGCCCAACCACCGGCUCCUGUUCUUAGAGAUGAACGUGGAGUCCUGGAGACUGCUCAACAUUGUGACUUGACUGUGAGCGUACGCGCUCCCUGUCCCCAGGAGACAGAUUUCCAGUGCAAUCAUAGAAAGUGCCUGUGUGGGCUUCGGGAGAUGUGUCUGCCUUGGGGAGAAUUUUCCUUUUCAGCUAGAGCCAGGCCCAGGAUGUUGACGUCAGUGAGACGCUGGUGACGUUCUCUGCUCCAGUGGCUGAUGAGAAAAGUUCCUCCAAGCCAGCUCAGUUGAGAAGAAUUAAGUUCUCUGGGUCCCACUGGCUUCACCUACAGAUGCCAACUUUGAGGCCAGUGAACUGUGAGGCCAGCUGGGCUGAUUGCCAUGGCAACAGGAAUUGGACCAAAGUCACCGGAGGAUGGAGAGGGAAGACACAGUGGUGGCUUCCCCAGGUCUUGGACCACAAGGCACAGCCGUGGCCUCCAGGAACCCUGAGAUAACCCGUUAGUGGGUCCUGCACUCCAACAGAGCUCAUGCAAUCAGCCUCUGGUCCUCACCCUCCUCCCAUUGGUGUCGUUGUGCUCUCUAACAUUGACAUUGAGCAGUGAGUGCUCCAGAUCUUGUUCCACUGAUUUUUUCCACUGUUCUCCAGUCUAGCACUUUCUGAAAUUCAUCCAAGCCUAAGAGGUGACGCCAAACGUAAGUGUCUUACACCUCGGACCCCAUGGACUAAGACAAGCCUCUGGGGUCCAUGUGGCACCAAGGAUGGGGCCUUCUAGUACCUUUCACACAGGCCAGGGACAGCACCUGCUGCGACCCCCACCCCCUUGGGGGUUCAAGUGAUUCUCCUGCCUCAGCCUCCCGAGUAGCUGGGAUUACAGGCACCCGCCACCACGCCCAGCUAAUUUUUGUAUUUUUAGUAGAGACGGGGCUUUGCCAUGUUGACCAGGCUGGACUCAAACUCCUGACCUCAGGUGAUCCGCCCACCUCGGCCUCCCAAAGCACUGGGAUUACAGGAAUGAGCCACUGCACUCGGCCUACUUCUGCAUUCCUUAGAGUACAUCCUAGCUAGGAUAUAUUCACUUGUCUUUAGAGCUAACAGCAGAAGAAAGGUACCUAGAUGCUUAUCUAGCUCUUUAUCUUUCUAGAAAUUCUAGAAGAUGAGAGGGGCAGUGGUGGCUCCAAGGGAGUGAUUUUAGGAUGGACUGGGACAGAGAGGGGCUGCUUACACAUACUCACACAGAGGCCAUUAAUUUAGGGAGUUCAAGGUCCAGGAGGUUGACGGCAUCUAGGCCUGUGGCAGAGUGCACUCCUGCUUUGGGGAAUGUAUGGGCAGCUUCUUGCCUGUAGUUGGAGGGUUAGAGAGAGGGAUCAAUAAUUUCAUGGUUGGACUUGAGUUUGGAGCGAGUGGAGUUAGAUACAAAUUCUAUGUUUUUGGAGAAAGUAUUUGAUCUUCUUGGCUGUGAGGCAAAGCGAGGUUUAAAAAUAUUUUUCACUUAAAAAUAUAUAUAUAUGCAUGUAUAUUUAAUACUGUCUAUGGAUUGUGCCAAUAUCUAUUUCAUGGUUUUGAUAUUGUGUAGUUAUACAAGGAGUUA
rnacentral:lncRNA from 1 species